AUCCAGUUGACGAGUCCUAAAUAGGACGAAACUCGCGUCCUGGAU
rnacentral:hammerhead_ribozyme from 1 species